rnacentral:sRNA from 12 species
GCCCCAUUGACGGAAUGAACGCAGCCCGUGAGCGAUACACGGAUGGGGC